rnacentral:rRNA from 1 species
UACGGAGGGUGCAAGCGUUAUCCGGAUUCACUGGGGUUAAAGGGUGCGUAGGUGGGCAAGUAAGUCAGUGGUGAAAUCUCCGGGCUUAACCCGGAAACUGCCAUUGAUACUAUUUGUCUUGAAUACUGUGGAGGUCAGCGGAAUAUGUCAUGUAGCGGUGAAAUGCUUAGAUAUGACAUAGAACACCAAUUGCGAAGGCAGCUCGCUACACGAAUAUUGACUCUGAGGCACGAAAGCGUGGGGAUCAAACAGG